rnacentral:rRNA from 1 species
AUUGAACGCUGGCGGCAGGCCUAACACAUGCAAGUCGAGCGGUAACAGAGGAAAGCUUGCUUUCCUGCUGACGAGCGGCGGACGGGUGAGUAAUGCUUGGGGGGCUGCCUGAUAGCGGGGGACAACCACUGGAAACGGUGGCUAAUACCGCAUAAUGUUACGGACCGAAGCAGGGGAUCUUUCGGGACCUUGCGCUAUCAGAUGCACCCAAGUGAGAUUAGCUAGUUGGUAAGGUAAAGGCUUACCAAGGCGACGAUCUCUAGCUGGUUUGAGAGGAUGAUCAGCCACACUGGGACUGAGACACGGCCCAGACUCCUACGGGAGGCAGCAGUGGGGAAUAUUGCACAAUGGGGGAAACCCUGAUGCAGCCAUGCCGCGUGUGUGAAGAAGGCCUUCGGGUUGUAAAGCACUUUCAGUUGUGAGGAAAGGGUAAUCGCUAAUAUCGGUUAUCUGUGACGUUAGCAACAGAAGAAGCACCGGCUAACUCCGUGC